AAUGGCUGUAAUUAACAAGACAGGAGUAAUAAGUGUUGGAGAGGAUGUAGAGAAAAGAAAAUUCUCAUACACUGCUGGUGGGAGUGCAAACUGGUGCAACCACUAUGGAAAACAGUAUGGAGAUUCCUCAAAAAUUAAGAAUAGAGCUACCAUACAAUCUAGCUAUUCCACUGCUGGGAAUUUAUCCAAAGAACA